rnacentral:tRNA from 1 species
GAGGGUAUAGCUCAGUGGUAGAGUGUGUGCUUAGCACACACAAGGUCCUGGGUUAAAUCCCCAGUACCUCCA